UAUUUAUGUUUAUAAUUAUUUUUCUGUUCAGAACCAGAGAUGAGGAAACCAUGAUGGUCCUCUGGAGGACAUUCGUCCUCAGCCGCCUGGAUUACUGCUCCUAGCUAUGGUCACCAAACAAUGUAAAAUUAACAGUGGACCUAAAAGCAAUCCAGCGAAGCUUCACAAAGAAGAUCGUCUCUUUGCAACAGCUCAGCUACUGGGAAAGGCUGGAACAGCUAAGACACUAUACCCUGGAGCGGAGGCGGGAGAGGUAUGCAGUAAUAUAC